AGCCACCUUCGGGUGGUGGACAGUGGCAGACGGGUGAGUAACGCGUGGGAACGUGCCUUUCGGUUCGGGAUAACCCAGGGAAACUUGGGCUAAUACCGGAUACGCCCUUCGGGGGAAAGAUUCAUUGCCGAAAGAUCGGCCCGCGUCGGAUUAGCUAGUUGGUGGGGUAAUGGCCUACCAAGGCGACGAUCCGUAGCUGGUCUGAGAGGAUGACCAGCCACACUGGGACUGAGACACGGCCCAGACUCCUACGGGAGGCAGCAGUGGGGAAUAUUGGACAAUGGGCGAAAGCCUGAUCCAGCCAUGCCGCGUGGGUGAAGAAGGCCUUAGGG
rnacentral:rRNA from 1 species